rnacentral:rRNA from 1 species
UACGUAGGGGGCAAGCGUUGUCCGGAUUCAUUGGGCGUAAAGCGCGUGUAGGCGGUUCGGUAAGUCUGCUGUGAAAGUCGGGGGCUCAACCCUCGGAUGCCGGUGGAUACUGUCGAGCUUGAGUACGGAAGAGGCGAGUGGAAUUCCUGGUGUAGCGGUGAAAUGCGCAGAUAUCAGGAGGAACACCAAUUGCGAAGGCAGCUCGCUGGGACGUUACUGACGCUGAGACGCGAAAGCGUGGGGAGCAAACAGG